rnacentral:pre_miRNA from 1 species
AUAAAAAUCACAUGGGAUCUUGUUAAAAUGCAGAUUCUGAUGCAGUAGGUCUGGGUGGGACUUGAGAUUCUUGCAUGUCUGACAAGCUCCCAGGUGAUGUCGAU